rnacentral:rRNA from 1 species
UUAAGGAAUUGACGGGCCCGCACAAGCAGUGGAGCGUGUGGUUUAAUUCGAUGCUACACGAAGAACCUUACCAGGGUUUGACAUACAAGUAGUAGGGAAGGAAACUGGACCGACCCUUCGGGGAGCUUGUACAGGUGCUGCAUGGCUGUCGUCAGCUCGUGUCGUGAGAUGUUCGGUUAAGUCCGCUAACGAGCGCAACCCUCGCUGUGUGUUACAAGUGUCACACGGAACUGCCGGUCGUAAACCGGAGGAAGGUGGGGAUGACGUCAAGUCAGCAUGGCCUUUAUAUCCUGGGCUACACACGUACUACAAUGGCCGGUACAAAGGGCAGCCACUUAGCGAUAAGGAGCCAAUCCCGUAAAGCCGGUCUCAGUCCGGAUUGGAGUCUGCAACUCGACUCCAUGAAGUUGGAAUCGCUAGUAAUCGCAGAUCAGCACGCUGCGGUGAAUACGUUCCCGGGCCUU